UAAAGGUAUUCCGGUAGACGAUGGGGAUGCGUUCCAUUAGAUAGUAGGCGGGGCAACGGCCCACCUAGUCUUCGAUGGAUAGGGGUUCUGAGAGGAAGGUCCCCCACAUUGGAACUGAGACACGGUCCAAACUCCUACGGGAGGCAGCAGUGAGGAAUAUUGGUCAAUGGGCGCAGGCCUGAACCAGCCAAGUAGCGUGAAGGAUGACUGCCCUAUGGGUUGUAAACUUCUUUUAUAAAGGAAUAAAGUCGGGUAUGGAUACCCGUUUGCAUGUACUUUAUGAAUAAGGAUCGGCUAACUCCGUGCCAGCAGCCGCGGUAAUACGGAGGAUCCGAGCGUUAUCCGGAUUUAUUGGGUUUAAAGGGAGCGUAGAUGGAUGUUUAAGUCAGUUGUGAAAGUUUGCGGCUCAACCGUAAAAUUGCAGUUGAUACUGGAUAUCUUGAGUGCAGUUGAGGCAGGCGGAAUUCGUGGUGUAGCGGUGAAAUGCUUAGAUAUCACGAAGAACUCCGAUUGCGAAGGCAGCCUGCUAAGCUGCAACUGACAUUGAGGCUCGAAAGUGUGGGUAUCAAACAGGAUUAGAUACCCUGGUAGUCCACACGGUAAACGAUGAAUACUCGCUGUUUGCGAUAUACGGCAA
rnacentral:rRNA from 1 species